rnacentral:sRNA from 1 species
UUUACAAUUUGUUUCUGUGUCUGGCAAACGACCAUAAGUUUAAAAUUACCCUAAAGUUGUGUUUUUCUAACAACGUUCCUAUGACAUCUGCUGGAUGAACUAAACGUCAGCCUACUUCAAAAUUAAUCUCGUCACUACUUCAGAUGGAAUUGCUGUUAUAUUUGAGCUCUUGGGACCACAAUGCGACUACAACGAAGGCAGAAACAGUUGAAAGAAAGAACAUUUAAUAACAUCGUCAUCAAGUUAUCAUCACCUCUUUGCCAGCACCAUAUCAUUGCCAUGCCAUGCCAUACCAUACCAACUGUUUUUUUUUAUUAUAUUUCCCCAGCGAAUAAGUCCCUUUCUUAGGUCUUGCAAAGAUUCUCCAAUGAUGCCGCUCUUCCUUCGUUCGUUCGUCUCGCAUUACAUCAUGCCAAGACGUUUGAUUGCUUCCGUUUACAUUUUUUCCGACAACAAUAUUUGCAGAACUGAAGCAAUCGGAAGAGUGAAGAAAUCAAAGUUUACAAACAUUCUAAACCCACCUGCCAUAAGAAACAACUCCCAGCAUUUAAUUCCGUUUCAAUUACCUUUUAUGUUACAUAUAUGCGAUAUAAUUGAAAUGGGUUGGCCUUUGAAAUGCUCAUACAGUGAUGAAUAUUUCAUUUAAUCAUAUUUUUAUGAACAAA